rnacentral:rRNA from 1 species
GACAGAGGGGGCAAGCGUUGCUCGGAAUCACUGGGCGUAAAGGGCGCGUAGGCGGGAUGGCAAGUCGGUCGUGAAAUCUCUCGGCUCAACCGAGAAACGUCGGCCGAUACUGCCGUUCUUGAGGGAUGCAGAGGAGACUGGAAUUCCCGGUGUAGCGGUGAAAUGCGUAGAUAUCUGGAGGAACACCGGUGGCGAAGGCGGCAUCCUGGACCAACACUGACGCUGAGGAGCGAAAGCCAGGGGAGCAAACGGG